AAAAAAAAAAAAAAAGUCCCCGAGCCUGCUCGCAGGCGGUGCCGGGAGAGGGUGCUCUGCGCCCCCGGGCCGAGCCGAGCCGAGCCGAGCCGCCGGGACCGCCUGCGCCGAGUGCACCGCCUGGGAAUCCCCCGCCCCGGGCUGCCCCGGCCCCGGGGUGCCUGCCCCGGGGUGCACCGACCGUGAGUCCCUUACACCGGGGGUGCACCCCCCGCGCCGCCCUGCCCUGGAGGUGCACAGACUCAGGGCUCCCCGUACCGGAGGUGCUCCAUCCUGGGCUGGAGGAGUGGGACCCAGGGUGCUCCUUCUCUGCCCCCCCAUACCGGGAGUGCACCAACCCCAGGGCCCCGUGCUGGGGAUGCUCCAUUUCGGAAAGGGAGAGUAGGACCCCCGUGUUGGGGGUACUCCAGCCUGCACCAGGGCAGCAGAGCUGCCCCAGGGUGGAGGGUGCCUGGUGAACCCACCCCAGCUCCAUGACGUGAGUGGGAGAAUAUUCCAAAUAUCCCCCUGGGAGAUGUCCAAGCGACCCGCCGCUGCUGCUGCAGGGCUGCCAACGCGCUGCUGUCACGGGGCCCCUGCGUGGCUGCGGCUCCUGCGGCGCAGCCCCGGCCACGCGGGGCCGUUCCCGCGGCAGCCCGUGGGCCUGGGAGGCAUUUUCCUGGGCUGAGGCUGGCCGGGAUGGCACCUGAGAUAGGACAUCUCUGCUCCCCAAGGGAGCUGGGAAAUGCCGAUGCAGGAGGAGGUGGCGAAAGCAAGGAGCAGCCCCAGGUUUGCAGGGAGUCUCCUGGGGACUGGUGGGACGAGUUGCCUGCCUCCUUUCGGGUAGGUGCUGCAUGACCUGCGUGAAGUUUGGUGAGUCAUAUCUGCUUCCUGACACCCAGCUCCCACAGUGCUGCUGGUUUACAAACCUAUUAAGAGUGUCUCAGUUCUUAUCGCCAAAAAUGUUGCGCAUACGGGGCAGGUCUCCUUCCCCAAAUGAGAGUACUUAUUUGUCAGGCUUAGGAGAUCCUUUGAUGGAUGAAAGGCCGGUCGGUGCAAGGAGCUGGUCUCCACCUCUCCAGGGUUAAUUAAAAACCUGGUGCAGAUUUCAAAGGCUCAAGGCCUGUGUAUGGAAGCACAGAAGCACGUGCACGUUUCUGGGCUGAAUGUGCAUCUGCUGGGGAUGUAGCUGUGAACAGAGGCAAAUAGCCGUGUAUCCAGCUGGCAUCGUGUCUUCCUUGUGCUUGAAACAUGCUUGAGCACGUUUGCAUGUGUGUUCGUGGUAACUUCUGCGUAUAGCGGGACCCGGGCCAGCCCACAGGAGCCUCCCCUCUCCCCAGCGCUGCCGGCUCCUGGGCUGUGCUGUGCCCUGUCAAAUAAAAAAAAAUGUUUCUAUAAACCACUUUCAGCAGUUCUGACUUUCGCAGAAGAGGCGGCACCAGAUGUGGUUACAUCCUUCCUUCAGCCUGCAGGUUCAUCCGCGGUGCUGCCUGUCAAAGCCGUCAGUCUCUGCUGCCCCAGAGGGCAGCGGUUAAGACGCCAGAGGCUCCUUCGCCCCUGCGCUGCGGUGCAAAGCCGCAGGGCUGCACGGGCUGCAGGAGCGGGACGAGCGGCCCUGACGGCUCAUCCUGGUCCCCGCAGCGAGGCCCAGGAGCAGGGAGUGCGCCCUCGCCGCUGGGAAGACGCUGACCCUCGUUUCCUGCCUGUCGUGAGGGUGCCGGCGCUGCCUAAGGGGAAGGGGGAAAUCGCAACGCCGCGGAGCCCGGCGGCACCGCGGGCUCGGGGCGCAGCGGGCGCGGGGCUCGGCGGGAGGCUCCUCCGGGGGGAGCGCAGCCGCCCCGGCCCCGCCGGCGCCAGCUCGGCCCCAGCCUCGGCCGAUAACGCGGGCUGCUCGGGGGGUUCGUGCCCGGCACCCUGGGGCCGGCGAGACAUCAGCAAGCGCGGGACGGUGUUAUCGCGGUUUCCCUGGGUCCCCAGUGAUGAUAGUGGCUGGAGAUAGCUCAAGGGUUUUGCCUGGAAAAGCAAUCCGUGGAAGGUUUAUCUCAUCCCUGGCUGAAUUGCCAUAAAUGGGGUAACAGCCAACCCGACGUGGAGUUAUUUGGUACCAGCGUUAAUCUAAAGUGUUUGCCAAGGCUUAUGGAUCAGAGCAAUGUUCACCCAGGCUGCGGAAGCGCCCCAGCUCCCUCUCCAGCUUUAGCUGCCAGGGACUGGUGGGGGUGGAGCGGGCGCCGGCCGACGUCGGGACCCGCGACCCCUGCUCUCUUCGGGGGGGAGACCCGAACUCCUGCUGCGCCCUGGCCGUCUGGGGUGCUCACUCCCCACUGUGAGAAUUUAAAAUUUAUUCCUGAAACGAUUUGCAGGACAUGAGCUUUGCCGGGUGAAAAUAAGAUUUACUGCAGGAAGCAGAUACGUGAUGUGGUCAUUCUUUCUCAUGUAUUUCUUUUUCUCAAAACCUAGUCUUCUGACCAGAAAAUAAAAGAAAAAAGGGGAAAAAAAAAAGAUUUUGCUGGAAGAUUUUUGGCCAGCUCACCAUGCAGGUGAGGAGCCAGUCUGCGGCGAUGCUCCCCCAGCCAAGGAGGCCCUGCGGACCUCUGCAUGGGUCGGGCUGGACCCGCUCCAGCCCUGACCCACGGCGGGAGGGCGGUCUGUGGUUGUGCUCUGUGGCCACGGACGGACAUCGUUUGCAGUCAUUUGUUUUCGUAAACGAGACAUAAAGCGGUCGCUAUCAUUGCCGCUGGUCUUUGCUGGCUCCCUUCAAUGCAAAUCAAAGGCCAGGUCUGCGAGACCUCGUGACUUGGGCUUCGCAUGGCGCAAGAUACCUUAGAAAAUCGUUUGCACAGGAGAGGAUCUUGCAUGUGUAGGAGCCCAAGAAAAAAUCUGCAGACUACUUUGGUUUGUACCUUGGGCUUGAGGCCCUGGGUGAUUCUGCUUUUAGGAGGAGCAGUGAUUUCCAAUCAUUCCUGCCUCUCUCUGUGCUUUUCAAACAAAAUGAUGAUCUGAGUUAA